rfam:Nocardia terpenica strain IFM 0406 genomic scaffold scaffold1, whole genome shotgun sequence.
UUGCCGGUGGAAGUCCGGUCCGGGUAGCUGCCAGGAGGCCCGGUAGCAGGCUGGCGGUGCCGUCUGGAAACGGGUGGUGCCGAAGCCCAGCGUCGAACGCCCUCGUGUGUGGGGUGUGCAACCGAACGGUCCGUAACGUGA